rnacentral:rRNA from 1 species
AAUCAACGCUGGCGGCGUGCCUCAGACAUGCAAGUCGAACGAUUAAAGCCCUCUUCGGAGGGUGUAUAAAGUGGCGUACGGGUGAGUAACACGUAAGUAAUCUACCUUCGAGUGGGGAAUAACGUCGGGAAACCGACGCUAAUACCGCAUAAUGCAGCGGCAUCUAUGAUGACAGUUGUUAAAGAUUUAUCGCUUGAAGAGGAGCUUGCGGCAGAUUAGCUAGUUGGUAAGGUAAUGGCUUACCAAGGCGACGAUCUGUAUCCGGUCUAAGAGGACGGUCGGACACACUGGCACUGAAUAACGGGUCAGACUCCUACGGGAGGCAGCAGUCGGGAAUUUUGGGCAAUGGGCGAAAGCCUGACCCAGCAACGCCGCGUGAAGGAUGAAGUUUUUCGGAAUGUAAACUUCGUAAGAAUGGGAAGAAUAAAUGACGGUACCAUUUGUAAGGUCCGGCUAACUACGUGCCAGCAGCCGCGGUAAUACGUAGGGACCAAGCGUUGUUCGGAUUUACUGGGCGUAAAGGGCG